UUUUUUUUUUUUUUUUUUUUUUUUUUUUUUUUUCAGUGCAGCAGGUCCCCUUCUGGCCCAAGGUGGGUUUAGAAAUGCCGUCCAAGAGCUAGGGCCUGGGAUGGGAGGCUUUAGGAAUCUUCUUGGUGUUUAUUUUACCAGGUUGCAAGACAAAGUCCUCUUUACUUUUCCUUCUCCUUUCCUCAAGCAGAAGUCUCUCCCUAUGGCCAUUAUCACUCUAGGCUCAGGGCAGCUACCGCUUGGCUGCCACUGAUGUUUAUUCAAGGCCCAAGGGCUUUUUAGUCACCACUGGUGAGUCCUGCGAGGCCUGUAUCUCUCCCUUCAGGACAGUGAAUGCCUUUCUGGCCCAAGGCAAGUCUAGACAUGCCCUCCAGGAGCUAAGGUUAAGAUUAGUACAUCAAAAAUUAUUUGAGUGACCCAUUUUUCAGUUCUCCCAAGGAUUGUACACAACUAAUACCAUUCUAGAUGCAUAGGAGAUAAGUUAAUUAUUAGGGUUUAAUUCUUUGGAGGAACUAGUUGAGAAUGAUUGUAAAACUGUUCUAACUGGAUGUUCUCAUAUAGCAUCAGUGAAGACUUUCUCAUUGAUUAACUAUUUAUUAGCUGGUAUUUAACAGUCCUUUGUAAAUAGUAAUUGGUCUUUUGACAGAUGUUCAGUUUUAUAAGUAGACUCACAUGUUUAUGUUUCCUGUGACAAAUGACAGUUAACAACAUAUCAAAGAGUAUAAUGUUGUUCUUCAGACUGGGCAUCUAUCUAUACAGUAGAAUGAAAAGGAAGAAAUAGGUAACAGAAAAUAAUGAAAAGAAGGCCUUGAUGCUUCUGAAGAAGUUAUGUUAACUUUGAAUGCUUCUCUAGCACUAACUUUAUUAAUGAGUCCCACUGGUUCUGAAUGACCUGGUGUGUUGUCAGUGUGUCAGAAGACCUCUAUGUGAGAACAGUCAUUUGGAAUAUCUAUAUAUACUAUUUGGCUUACUUUUACAAGUUUUACCUAUGUAAAAUUAAUAUUGAAAGGGAGCACCUGAUUACCUAUUAGAAAGAAAAAUUACAAUUUCCCUCAGCUGGUCACAAUCUGAGGCAUGUGAAGCAAUGUGGAAUAAUGUUAAAAUCUUGUAUUUAGAGACGGAAAACCUGGAUAUAAGCCCUUACCUCACCACUUAAUAAUUCGGACAAGUUACUUAAAAUUUAAGCUUCAGUUCUCAUCUAUAAAAUGGAAAUAAUAAUUAUCCUGUAUCUCACAACAGAUUAUUAUUUUUAGUACAGGAGAUGACAUAUAUGAGGAAAUUUUUAUAAACUUUGUAAAUUAAGAAUUAAGUAUUUGCAGAAUUCUUUCAAGGUACCAAACACUAUCCUCACUGCUCAGAAUACAAAUAUAAACAGGUUGUUCCAGCCCAUAAAAAGUUCACAGUCUAGGGCCUGGGUGCAGUUUCUCAUGCCUGUAAUACCAGCACUUUGGGAGGCUGAGGUGGGCAGAUGUCUUAAACCCAGGAGUUUGAGACCAACCCGGGCAACAUGGCAAAACCCCAUCUCUACUGAAAAAUAAAAAAUUAGCCAGACGUUGUGGCACAUGCCUGUAGUCCCAGCUACUUGGGAGGCUGAGGUGGAAGAAUCACUUGAGCCCAGGAGGUUGAGGUUGCAGUGAGCUGUGAUCAUACUACUGCACUUCAACCCAGGUGACAGAGCAAGACUCUGUCUCAAAAAAAAAAAAAAAAAAA
ensembl:lncRNA novel transcript, sense intronic to GPHN